AUCCAGCUGACGAGUCCCAAAUAUGACGAAGAGCGUGUCCUGGAU
rfam:Schistosoma mansoni strain Puerto Rico chromosome 3, complete genome